UACGGAGGGUGCGAGCGUUGUCCGGAAUCACUGGGCGUAAAGGGCGCGUAGGCGGCUUGGGAAGUCCGUGGUGAAAGCCCGAGGCUCAACUUCGGGUCGGCCAUGGAUACUCCUAAGCUCGAGUCGACUAGAGGCUAAUGGAAUUCCUGGUGUAGCGGUGGAAUGCGCAGAUAUCAGGAGGAACACCGGUGGCGAAGGCGGGUCUCUGGGCAGUAACUGACGCUGAGGAGCGAAAGCGUGGGGAGCGAACAGG
rnacentral:rRNA from 1 species